CCUACGGGUGGCAGCAGUGAGGAAUAUUGGUCAAUGGACGAGAGUCUGAACCAGCCAAGUAGCGUGAAGGAUGACUGCCCUAUGGGUUGUAAACUUCUUUUAUAAAGGAAUAAAACGAGGCACGUGUGCCUUUUUGCAUGUACUUUAUGAAUAAGGAUCGGCUAACUCCGUGCCAGCAGCCGCGGUAAUACGGAGGAUCCAAGCGUUAUCCGGAUUUAUUGGGUUUAAAGGGAGCGUAGAUGGGUUGUUAAGUCAGUUGUGAAAGGUUGCGGCUCAACCGUAAAAUUGCAAUUGAUACUGGCAGUCUUGAGUACAGUUGAGGUAGGCGGAAUUCGAGGUGUAGCGGUGAAAUGCUUAGAUAUCACGAAGAACCCCGAUUACGAAGGCAGCUUACUAGACUGUGACUGACAUUGAUGCUCGAAAGUGUGGGUAUCAAACAGGAUUAGAUACCCUUGUAGUC
rnacentral:rRNA from 1 species